rnacentral:miRNA from 1 species
UGAGAACUGGUUUUCGUGGACU